rnacentral:miRNA from 13 species
CGGGCUCCAAGCGGGCUUGACCCCUGUUCCUGCUGAACUGAGCCAGUGUGCACAAACCAACUGUGUUUCAGCUCAGU